CAGAUGGGCUCUUCGUGACCGACUACUUCACCCACACACUCCUCAAGCUCAGCCCCUUCCGCUCCUUUGCCAGCAUCGAGCUCUUCCACUUCCACAUCCCUGAGGACACGGUCAUCGCCGUCUAGAACCUCAUCACCUUCAAGGAGCAGGGUGGCACCUUUGGGGACCAGUGCCCAGACUGCAGCAUCACCGUGUAUUUCCGCUCAGGGACUCCCUCUGUCAUUAACCUGCUGCACACGCACUUCCCCAAGGACAUGGCUGUCCCUGGCUCCUUCGCACUGAUGCUCACGUGGACCCUGCCGAACCAGACCACAGGGGUGUUCAAUGUCACCAGCCCGCUGCCCGGGGACUGGUUCUUGGCCGCUCACCUGCCCAAAGAUGAGGGCAAGAUCUCCGUCAAGGGGCUUUACGAGGAGUGCCAGUAUCUCUAACCCCC